CCUACGGGUGGCAGCAGUGAGGAAUAUUGGUCAAUGGACGAGAGUCUGAACCAGCCAAGUAGCGUGAAGGAUGACUGCCCUAUGGGUUGUAACCUUCUUUUAUAUGGGAAUAAAAUGUUCCGCGUGUAGGAUUUUGUAUGUACCAUAUGAAUUAGGAUCGGCUAACUCCGUGCCAGCAGCCGCGGUAAUACGGGGGAUGCGAGCGUUAUCCGGAUUUAGUGGGUUGAAAGGGUGCGCAGGCGGAAGAUCAAGUCAGCGGUAAAAUUGAGAGGCUCAACCUCUUCGAGCCGUUGAAUCUGGUUUUCUAGAGUGAGCGAGAGGUAUGCGGAAUGCGUGGUGUAGCGGUGAAAUGCAUAGAUAUCACGAAGAACUCCGAUUGCGAAGGCAGCAUACCGGCGCUCAACUGACGCUCAUUCACGAAAGUGUGGGUAUCGAACAGGAUUAGAUACCCGAGUAGUC
rnacentral:rRNA from 1 species